ensembl:lncRNA
CGCUGGAGUUCACGGACGGUGUAGUCAGGUAUCACACGCCUCUGUUCAUGUGCAGCAGUAAAAGCAUCGUUCUUCCUCAGAUCCCUUCCCAAGCAGGAGCAGUAUGAGUACUAUCUUUACAUACUUUAUCUUACAGGUCCACUGUGAUCUUUACAUACUUUAUCUUACAGGUCCACUGUGAUCUUUACAUACUUAUCUUACAGGUCCACUCUGAUCUUUACAUACUUAUCUUACAGGUCCACUGUGAUCUUUACAUACUUUAUCUUAUUAGAGCACUCUGAUCUUUACAUACUUAUCUUACUCUGAUCUUUACAUACUUAUCUUAUCUUUACAUACUUUAUCUUACAGGUCCACUCUGAUCUUUACAUACUUAUCUUACUGUGAUCUUUACAUACUUAUCUUACUGUGAUCUUUACAUACUUAUCUUACUGGUCCACUCUGAUCUUUACAUACUUUAUCUUACAGGUCCACUAUGAUCUUUACAUACUUAUCUUAUCUUUACAUACUUUAUCUCACAGGUCCACUCGGAUCUUUACAUACUUAUCUUACUGUGAUCUUUACAUACUUUAUCUUACUGGUCCACUCUGAUCUUUACAUACUUUAUCUUACAGGUCCACUAUGAUCUUUACAUACUUUAUCUUAUUGGUGAGAUACCUGUUGCUCAUUUCUAGUGGGGAAUAUAUUUGUCGCAUGUUGGUGUA